GCCCCGCGGAGGCCGAAGCGGCGCGGGCGGCCGUGGGGCAGCGGGGCCCGCCUGAGUCUUGAGGUGGAAGAGGGCCUUCACGGUGGGCUUUUCACGUCCGGAGACUGUGUCCGAGGAGGUCAAGCACGUGAGAGUGCUUUGUAACCGGAACGUGCCUUUCAAAAGCAGCUCCAGAUUUGCUCCUGCUACCUGGUAGGAUGGAACACCUGACCAUGGGACAUCAAGUGACCGCAUGAGUAAUCACACCACCCAUCGUGAGCUGACAUUGUCUGAUUCCCAAGACCGCACAGCUGGAUGAGCACAGAGCAGUCCGCUCCCUGUUAGACUGGGGACUGGCUGCGGCAGAACUAAAGGAGCAGGUAGUCCUGACCCUGCCCCUUCAGCGUUUCUCCCCAACCCGUAUAAACUGGCUUCAGGAGGAGUUCCUUCUGACCAGUUAAUGGAAGAGAAAAAAGUGUGGGUCCUAUUCAUUCUUGAAAGGAUCUGCCGUGAGCUGGCCACAGCUGGAUGUGAAUGAUCACGAAAAUAAUCCAUUAGCACCCUUCCUUACCCAUUACUCAAACUGGCAUUCUCAACCUAAGGGAACUUGGAAGUAAGAAAAAGACUGAGCAGCAAGGAAAAUAGGUGUUGUAAGCUUUGUUCUGUAACAAAAAUAUUGAUCUGUUCUUGAGGAAUUGUUUCACAAAGGUGAAUUCUCCAUGUAACUGAAGCUUCAUUAUUCAUCAUGGACAGAAAGUUAGUGUAGUUUGAAGGGUCUUUACCAGUACGCUGUAAGUUUAACAACUAGGCUCUCCAGGGCUAAAAAAAAAAAGUUCUGAUUGUGAUGUUUGCUAAUUCCAGUGGGGUUAAAUACUCCCACUGUGACUCUACUUCAGGCUAACACAGGACAUCACUGAACACAGAGGUGGAAAGAGGUGUAGACUAUCAGAUUAUAAGAUUUCCCUCAUGUGCACACAACAGACAUAAUCAUAAAAACAUGGGUAAUAAUGAAAUAGUAAAAUAACUAAGAAAAUUAGUUUUGAGUAUUUAUUAUUCAGUAAUAUUGGAUAUUACUAUAACUUUCAGUUUAUAUAAUUAAUUUCUGAUAAUGGCUGUUGUUUAAAUUCUGAAAAAUUCUUAAAACUUUUUAUUUUUUAAAUUCAUUUAUUUUUAAACUGAAGGAUAAUUACUUUACAGUAUUAUGUUGGUUUCUACCAAACAUCAGCAUGAAUCAGCCAUAGGUUUUAAAACUUUUAAAAUCAGCACUCAUAAGGCAGCGUCCCAGCUCUAGCAUACUGUUGUCUAUGCUCUUAAAGAAGGGACAAGGACUGACCAAUAUAAGUGGUUCUGCUAGCUAAAGCUAAAACAGAUUUAAUACUCAGAUUUAUAUAGUGAACCCUUAAAUUCCACCAUCACACAAAGUCAAGUCCUUGAUAAAAAUAAAGUCUUUUUCAUUUUCUUCCAUGUAUAUGCUACCUUGUUAUGACUUGGUUAUUACUUCCUAAAAUCUUGGCUGCUGUAAAUGUUUAAUCUCUGUUGCCUGUAAAUAAAUACUGACUAAAGGAACCCAACAAGCAGUGGGCAAAAAAAUGCAAAUAGACAUUUCUUCAAAGAAGGUAUAUGGAUGGCAGAGCAGCACAUGAAAGGAUGCUGAACAUCAUCAUCACCAGGGAAAUGUAGAUUAAAAGGACAAUGAGAUACCACUACAUACCUAUUACAAUGACUAAGAUUAAAGACAAAUCAUAAGAAUUCAGGAGGAAUUGGAACUCUCAUACAUAGCAGGAAGGAAUGUAAAAAGGUAUAGUCACCUGAGAAAGUGUGGCAGAUUCUUAAAAAGUUAAACAUAUGCCUACCAUAUGAUCCAGUGAUUCCACUUCUAGCUAUUUACUCAAGAGAAAUGAAAGCACAUGUCCAUAUGAACAGUCAUACAAGAAUGUUCAUAGCAGUUGUAUUUGUAAUAGACAAAAACUGGAAACAACCCAGAUGUCCACAGGAGAAUGGAUAAAAUAAUCGUGGCACAUCCAUAAAAUGGAAUAUGACUCAGCAACUUUUAAAAAACUAUCAAGAGACAAAACAUAGAUAAAUCUCAAAACAAUUAUGCCCGUGUAAAAAGCCAGAGAAGAAAAUAGGGCAUACUCUAUGACUCUAUUUAAAUAAAAUUCUAGAAAAAACUAAUCAGCAGUGGCAGAAAACAGACCAGGGGUUUCCUGUGGCUGAGGGAUGGGAAGAAGAAGAGAGUUUACACAGGAGUAAAAGGACACUUGCAGUGAUGGAUACGCUCAUCAUUUUGACUUUGGUGAUAAUUUCACAGGUGUAUACAUAUGUCAGCUUUCAAACUGCAUACUUUAUAUGCAGUUUAGUUUGUAUCAACUAUAUUUCAAUAAAGCUAUUAAAAAACACAAUCUACUCUCAUAUGACCAGGAGAGAUGAGCAAAAAAAGGAAACUACUUUGUUUUGCAUAACUUAGUUACAUCUUUCAUGGUAAAAAUGUAUAGGUCCUUUGGGCAGCCCCAAGCAUAUUGCUGUUGUCUUUAUCACAUGCUGUUAGGCCAGAUUCUCUUCAUCUGAGUGCCUGUCUUUACAUUUAUCUCUUAAUAAACUUCAUAUUGUUUUUGUUGUUUA